GCAUAUUCACCGGGUGAGCCCCGACUGUGAUUAACAACAUGGAAGAAUCCCAAAAUCCCUCAGAUCUCCAGGCCAUGAUUGCAGCAGCGGUAGCUGCGUCCAUGGAAAAGGCUUUGGCUAAGUCGUUCCAAUUGGAACAAGACGCAUCUAAGCCCAUUCCCAAACGGGCUCAUUAUGGGGCGGAUUCUGAAGACUCCGAUUCCUCCAGGGAACGCUCCCACCCCCCUAAGCGCCAUUGGAAAGGCGAGGCUAUGGGACCACGUAAAUCCAAAGGAAAGGCCCCUGCUAAAUGCAGACGAGACACGAGCAGAUCGUCCCAAAAACCCGCUCAGGCUUCCUCUGGGGAAGAGGACGCAG